CUUCCUUGUAAGAAAAUCAUCCACUUGGUUGCGCCACACAACCCGAAAAAUCUUCAGAAAAAAAUACUAGAAGCUUUAAUUGAAGUCAAAAAAUUAGGAUUGUCAUCAGUGUCUUUUCCUGCCUUUGGAACAGGAAAUCUUCAUAUGGAUUGUUCAACUGUAGGAUCGAUCAUGCGAGCCUCAAUCGAGUUGUUUGUGAAAUCGUAUCCAAAUUCCAACUAUCCAUCGUCCGUGAAAGUUGUAAUCUUUGACAAAAAACUGUUGAAAGAUUUCAAAGAUACAAUUUUAAG